rnacentral:misc_RNA from 1 species
UUAGACCCAGGUAGUCCCAUUUGAGCAUUGUGGGAUCCGAUAUCACUCAAAGACCCAGUAACAGCAGGAGGCAAGCUCGCAGGUGUAGAAACUGGGCGAGGAUAGUGAGACUGUAUAAUAGCUGGAUCAUUGUUUAUAGGUGGCAUAGGCUGAACAGGGGGAGAAGACUUAACCUGUAAGUCCUUGAUGUCACUUCCACGGAACAAUAUGUAUUC